rnacentral:rRNA from 1 species
CCUACGGGUGGCUGCAGUGAGGAAUAUUGGUCAAUGGGCGCGAGCCUGAACCAGCCAAGUCGCGUGAGGGAGGACGGCCCUACGGGUUGUAAACCUCUUUUGCCGGGGAGCAACGGGCGUCACGUGUGGCGGCACUGAGAGUACCCGGAGAAAAAGCAUCGGCAAACUCCGUGCCAGCAGCCGCGGUAAUACGGAGGAUGCGAGCGUUAUCGGGAGUUAUUGGGUUUAAAGGGUGUUUAGGUGGACCGUUAAGUCAGUGGUCAAAUUGGGGGGCUAAACCCCUUCCCGCCAUUGAAACUGGCGCUCUUGAGUGGAAGAGAAGGAUGCGGAAUGCGUGGUGUAGCGGUGAAAUGCAUAGAUAUCACGCAGAACCCCGAUUGCGAAGGCAGCAUGCCGGCUUCCGACUGACGCUGAAGCACGAAAGCGUGGGGAUCGAACAGGAUUAGAUACCUUAGUAGUC